rnacentral:rRNA from 1 species
UACGUAGGUGGCAAGCGUUGUCCGGAUUUAUCGGGUUUAAAGGGUGCGUAGGCGGCUGUUUAAGUCAGUGGUGAAAGCCGAUCGCUUAACGAUCGAACUGCCAUUGAUACUGAAUAGCUUGAGUACAGAUGAGGUAGGCGGAAUUGACAGUGUAGCGGUGAAAUGCAUAGAUAUUGUCAAGAACACCGAUUGCGAAGGCAGCUUACUAAAGUGUCACUGACGCUGAGGCACGAAAGUGCGGGGAUCAAACAGG